ACUGUACCGAAGGAGCAUAUUAGCAUUCAGAGGACACUGGUCAGACUGCCCGUCGCUGCCGAAAGCCGGACGAAGGAGGAAAAAUGCGGUGCACCUACUGUUCUGGUUCUCAGGGGCGGUGCACCACCACCACGUCGGGCCGGUCAGUGACGGAGUGCUGCUCAUGCGGCCGAGUAGUGGAGGAGCGUCAAGUUCAGCCUCACGAUCUCUUCCUCCUUCGGGCACAAGACAACCCCCUCUGCCUUGUUACUUCUGACCUUUCUUCCAUCCCAUCUCCUACCACCACCACCACCACCACCACCAACAGCAAAGACAACGACGAAGAUGAAGACCCAUUUGAGCCAACGGGAUUUAUCACGGCUUUCUCCACCUGGUCACUCGAGCCUAGCCCUGUAUUCGCCCGUUCUUGCCUCUCCUUCGCCGGCCACCUCGCUGAGCUGGAGCGAGCCCUGGACUCCACUUCGUCUUCUUCUUCGUCGACGCCGUCGAGUUCGUCGGGGCCGGGGGUCGUCGUCGUGGACAAUCUUCGGGCUUAUCUGCAGAUCAUCGACGUCUCGUCGAUAUUGGGUCUAGAUUACGAUAUCUCGGACCAUGCUUUUCAGCUGUUCAGGGACUGUUCUUCUGCUACUUGUUUGAGGAACCGCAGUGUAGAAGCACUUGCAACAGCAGCUCUAGUUCAGGCUAUCAGGGAGGCCCAGGAGCCCAGGACACUCCAGGAAAUUUCAAUUGCAGCUAAUGUUCCCCAGAAGGAGAUAGGGAAAUAUAUUAAAAUACUAGGGGAAGCUCUGCAACUGAGUCAACCCAUUAACAGCAACUCGAUAUCAGUUCACAUGCCAAGGUUUUGCACUCUCCUCCAACUCAACAAAUCUGCUCAGGAGCUAGCAACUCAUAUUGGAGAAGUUGUGAUCAACAAAUGCUUCUGCACUCGUAGGAAUCCAAUUAGCAUCUCUGCAGCUGCUAUUUAUCUGGCCUGUCAACUGGAAGACAAACGCAAAACCCAGGCAGAGAUUUGCAAAGUGACAGGUCUCACUGAGGUCACUCUGCGAAAAGUCUACAAGGAGCUACUGGAGAAUUGGGAUGAUCUACUCCCACCUAACUACACUCCAGCUGUCCCUCCAGAGAAAGCAUUCCCCACAACUGCAAUUACCUCAGGCCGUUCAUCAGCUCCUAGAGUUGAUCCAGUUGAGAUUUCAUCUUCUUCAGACAAAGACAAGCAACUUGAAGUUAAUAAACCUAACAAACUACCUGAAGGUUUGCAGACAGACUAUCAGGGCAAAGGAAAAGAAGAGAUUGAGAGUAAAGGUAAUCCUCAUAUGGUCCAUCACCCUCCUGCAUCAUAUGGAUCAGGACACAGUGAACAUGUGUCAAAUCGUGCAACGACCUUCUGGCAGCCCCAUCAUCUCUAUUCUACGCCAAGGCCAACAGAUGGAGAGAAAAAUCAGAAUGUCAAGCGAGAUAUUGAUAUUAAUGAAACACAGGCUAACCCUCCAGAGGUUGAACAGAAGGUGAACAAAGACCCGAAGGCCGCUACCAUUUCUCAAAGACCAAAGCAGUUUUCUAGUUCCAGCCCAUCAACUGCAGCUGGGGGCUCCCACCCAUGGCCCCUACGCCCACCUAGGCCUCCUUAUGUUUGAUCUCUGUAUCUGUCAGCAAUGGUAUUAGGUUUCUCAAAGUUUAAAGGAAUCAACAAGAUGGGUGCCCCCACAAGAUGUGGUAAACCUGUUCAACCCCAACUUCCUGAGGCUAAAGGAAAAGAGAGGGAAAAUCAUGUGGAGGACAGUAAGAGCUGCAUUGGUUUGGAUGAUAUAGGAAGAAAGGAACAAUACAAUCUUCAAUGAGAAAAGCAGGUCUAAGGAGGAACUAUUGGAAGCUAUCUUCGUGAGAGCUGGACAUUGGGUAAAAAACAUUGGAGCUGUUUAGAUCUUUUCAGUUAAGAACAUCAUUAGAGCUUGGUCUGAGGUGGCGCAAACAGGUAGAAACAUUGAAGAGGUGAGAAUGGAUUGGAAGCCCCCUGCUGUAAAAUAAACUGAAACUGAACUUUGAUGGUAGCUCUAUGGACAACCUGGGAAGAGCAGGUAUUGGGGGAGUGAUGAGAUCAUCAAGCAUUGGUGGUGGUAGUGUAUCAGGUCCGGUGGGAUUGGGAGGCUCAAUUAAGAUGGAAAUUUUGGCACUUUUACAAGGUUUGAGAUUAGUAAACAGCUUGGUCUUAGAAAUUCGGAAGUGGAGGGUGACUCACAACUGGUAAUUCAUUGGGCAAAGCAAGUCAAAGCAGCACCUUGGAAAUAUAGACAUGCUUUUAGGUAAAUUGAUGUUAUUGCAAAGCAAUUAAAUUCACAUUUCAGCUGAGUGAGAAGAACUGCCAAUGGGGCAGCAGAUGUACUAGCUAAACAGGGAGUUAACAGGCCAAAUCUAUUAUGGGAAAACUUGUAAAACUGUUACUGAAGGGUGUUGGAAUCUUCCAACAGUUGUAUUAAGUUUAUUAGUUAAUUUUAAUGAAAUCCUUUUGCUGAGAAAAAAAAAA